rnacentral:lncRNA from 1 species
CUGGGCAACAAGAGUGAAACCCGUCUCAAAAAAAAAAAUUAUAUCAAAAUAAAUUGUUAAAAUUAUUAUUCCAGUUGACUUCCUGUGGCAUGCAGCUGCGUUACAUACUUUGACAUUUGGUGUUCAGUCAGGUGUUGACUGAUCACAGCACGUGUUUUGUUCUCUGUAUAGUCAAACAUGAAUGUGGACAACUUUCUGCAUUUCCUAACAGUUUACCACAAAUGAUUUGAUCUCAUUAUGUCUAUACUUUUGUUACAGACUGUCCCAUUCUCCCUCCCCAUAAAUAAUAUAGAGAAGAAAGCCAAGCCUUCUAAUGGGAGAAGGAAAACUGGUUAGCCAAAAUGACCUGUGAGCUAUCACCAACCCUGACAUGCUGGGAUUCUAUGGAAGGUUUUAUAUUGCAAAGAAAGGUUAAGUCCCCAUUUGACAGAUAUUUUUGAUUGAUGCCAUCAUGAAGUAAAGAUUAGAGAAUGACAAAAUAAUAGAAUUUACCAGAUGCUGAAUCAGAAGUAUUUUCUCCUUUUGGAAAGUAAUGUGCCUCACGAUUGCCUCCACACGUGCCUUCGAGGUUAGCUGGUCAGAAUGAGAUUGCUUAGAGUGGCCAGAGAAGGCAAAGAUGUUCUUAUGUCCUGAAUAUGCUUUUUCUUGAAAUCAUGUUUUGCUCUUUUAAAAUCAGUUUAAAGAUACAUUCUCUUUUUCUGGUUUGGCCCCCUAGCAUUUUUUAUAUGUUCUGUUGAGAUAAGUAUUGCUUAAAUGAAUCGUUUAUUGAAGGAAAAAUGAUCUGUUUUCCUUAUUUCAAGACUUAUCACCCUCCCUUUGGAAGAGACAAUGGAUUAUUUCAGAAACUGCAUGGUUCUGAGGUGCUCCUAGCAUAGGUCAGUUUUUUCUAUCUGCACUUGAGCAGCUUUCUUUAACAGAAUUUUGAGUCUCCCUUUUCCGUUUCAGAAGUUGAGGGUCAUUUGCUAAUAGAGAAUAGUAAGCUGUCAUUUCACUCUUGCUACCCAUACACAGAAUUUUUUUGGGUUCAUUUCUUCAGUACAUUCAAGGAAACACCAAUGUAAUUGCAAUCCAACUGGUAAAUAAAAAUUGUUGUCUUAAUUGA